GACGAACGCUGGCGGCGUGCCUAAUACAUGCAAGUAGGACGCAGUUGCGAACGGGUGAGUAACGCGUAGGUAACUACCUAUUAGAGGGGGAUAACUAUUGGCAACGAUAGCUAAUACCGCAUACUAGUAGAUGGACCUGCGUUGUAUUAGCUAGUAGGUAGGGUAAUGGCCUAACUAGGCAACGAUACAUAGCCGACCUGAGAGGGGUGUAGGCCACACUGGUCCUUAGACACGUCCCAGACUCCUACGGGAGGCAGCAGUAGGGAAUCUUCGGCAAUGGGGGGAACCCUGACCGAGCAACGCGGCGUGAGUGAAGAAGGUUUUCGGAUCGUAAAGCUCUGGUGUUAAGGAAGCGGUACUUAACCAGAAAGGGACGGCUAACUACGUGCCAGCCGCCGCGGUAAUAC
rnacentral:rRNA from 1 species